rnacentral:lncRNA from 1 species
GAUGCUUGCAGUGCACGUUGUUCGCCUCCUGUGCUCAGGCCCUGCAUACCCAAAGGGAGCAUGUGGCUCUAAUGCUUCAGCUUGCAACUAGGGAUGUGAGCCUCGUAGUUAGUGAGCACAGGGUUAAUGAAGGAAGAUGAUGUUUAUUUGAACUUGAAAACUUUGGUUCAAUUCCUAGCUUUUGCCCCCAGAUACUUUCUGUGUGAUCACAGGCAAGACAUUUAAUCCCUCUGUAUCUCGGCUCCAUAUGUAUAAAGCAGGAAUGAAAAUACGAGCUCCGUCCCACCCCUCUUCUAUCUCAUCUAUUUGAAUCAUUUUUCACAGCUCUGACUGCAGCAGAGUGGCUCAGGGCUCUGGUGGGCAGCUCUGGACCACCGCACAUCCCACACUCCAAACUGCAGUCAAGCCCACGAUAGCGAUUUGCACCUCAGAUAAAAGUUUGGCAGUAGGACUGAGCUUGGGGUUGUGUAUGCUGGGCUUUACGACCUGGAGCUGUGUUUGUAUUUACAGCUAUUUUUGCUCCCUCUUCUGAGGGUUCACUCCGCAACGGGCGCUAUUUUCGAGCUGGCUCACUGUGGUAUCUUGCCCUGCUGCAAGCAAAGCUUGGAAAACUGAAAAGAAGGUUUCUUUAAUUAAACGAAAACCAGAGCCCAUCGUCUACUUGAUAUGAAAAAUAGACCAAAUUAUAGUGGUAUUCAUAGCCUGCUGGAAUGGUCGGUUGUUUUGGAAAAAAAAAUGUUUUUAGAGGAGACGUGCCAAGAAACUGUUCUCUCAGGAAAUGAUAAAUGGCAGUUUUGAGACUUAAGUGGCCUGUGCUGUAUGUAUGUGUCUUGGUUACUGCUGACUCAAUCAUGUGUGCUCCUGAUGGCUCCCACAUUCGCAGCAGAGGGAAUUUACAAUCCUAAUUCACAAGCUCAUUAUUGUCCUGCAGUUCAGGACUUUUACACGCGGUCUCGGGGAUUGUUUUAGCAAAGAACAAUGCAAACCCGUUAUUUUUUUUAAUCACGCUUCAGAUAACCUUUUGGUUGCUAUUAAUUUCACAGCGUGCACUGCAAACCUUGUGAUUCGUGUUCCAAAAGCAUUGCUGCUGGGAUCGCGCUCUGCCAGGUUGGGCGGGGUUUCUUCUUCUGCAGUGUGUGCGGCUUUAGGGAAUCCAAAUGACAGAAAAAUGGAAAAAGUAAAUGGUUAGAAUUUGCGUGGCGGGGCUGCUUUGUGAGAGAGCACGUGUAAACACCGCCGCCGUGUUGCACGGAGGAAGGGUGCGCUUUGAACAAGGCACCAUUUAGUACCGCGAGGUCUUUGCGGUGAUGCGUGGGGCUGCCAUUGCAGUGGGGGAUAUGUUGUGUGCAAAUGGAUAAGCCUUUGGAGUGUUCUCUUCUAAGUGCCAACAGCGAUCCUCAUUUUCAGGCCAUUUAUAUUACCUUAAUCCCAUUGACAUCAAUAGAUUUACUCCUCAUUUACUCUGGAGUGAAAGAGAAGCAAAUUGGGACUAUUGUAUGUUUAGGAGACAUUGUUGCAAAACAUGUCUCGUUGCUGAGGCACAAUGGAGGGAGAGGGCUUCAUGGGAUACACAGAGC